AGUUGGUGGAGUGAUUUGUCUGGUUAAUUCCGUUAACGAACGAGACCUUAUCCUGCUAAAUAGACGCACCUAUCUUCGGAUAAGUGUCCGGCUUCUUAGAGGGACUUUGCGAUUUUAAGCGUAAGGAAGUUUGAGGCAAUAACAGG
rnacentral:rRNA from 1 species